rnacentral:rRNA from 1 species
AUACGGAGGAUGCGAGCGUUAUCCGGAUUUAUUGGGUUUAAAGGGUGCGUAGGCGGUCGGGUAAGCGUAGGGUGAAAGUCCUCUGCUCAACAGAGGAAGUGCCUUCCGAACUGUCCGACUGGAAUGCUCCUGCCGUGGGAGGAAUGUGUGGUGUAGCGGUGAAAUGCAUAGAGAUCACACAGAACACCGAUUGCGAAGGCAUCUCACGAAGGGGCUAUUGACGCUGAGGCACGAAAGCGUGGGGAUCAAACAGGAUUAGAUACCCUGGUAGUCCACGCAGUAAACGAUGAUGACUAACCGUCGGUCAAGACUGAUCGGUGGCCAAGCGAAAGCGAUAAGUCAUCCACCUGGGGAGUACGACCGCAAGGUUGAAACUCAAAGGAAUCGACGGGG